AGUCGAACGGGAGGAAAAGAGAAGCUUGCUUCUUUUUGAAUCUAGUGGCAAACGGGUGAGUAACACGUAAACAACCUGCCUUCAGGAUGGGGACAACAGACGGAAACGACUGCUAAUACCGAAUGUGUUCCGGAGACCGCAUGAUUUCCGGAAGAAAGGAUGGCCUCUAUUUAUAAGCUAUCGCCUGAAGAGGGGUUUGCGUCUGAUUAGGCAGUUGGUGAGGUAACGGCCCACCAAACCUACGAUCAGUAGCCGGUCUGAGAGGAUGAACGGCCACACUGGAACUGAGACACGGUCCAGACUCCUACGGGAGGCAGCAGUGGGGAAUCUUCCGCAAUGGACGAAAGUCUGACGGAGCAACGCCGCGUGAGUGAUGACGGCCUUCGGGUUGUAAAGCUCUGUGAUCGGGGACGAAUGGCUGGUAUGCUAAUACCAUAUCAGAGUGACGGUACCCGAAUAGCAAGCCACGGCUAACUACGUGCCAGCAGCCGCGGUAAUACGUAGGUGGCAAGCGUUGUCCGGAAUUAUUGGG
rnacentral:rRNA from 1 species